rnacentral:rRNA from 1 species
UGCCAGCAGCCGCGGUAACACGUAGGAUUCGAACGUUAUCCGGAUUUACUGGGCGUAAAGCGUGUGCAGGCGGCUUGAUAAGUUGGAUGUGAAAGCUCCGGGCUCAACCCGGAGACGUCGUUCAAAACUGUCAGGCUAGAGGACGAUAGAGGAAGGUGGAAUUCCGGGUGUAGUGGUGAAAUGCGUAGAUAUCCGGAGGAACACCAGUGGCGAAGGCGGCCUUCUGGGUCGUUCCUGACGCUCAGACACGAAAGCAUGGGUAGCGAACGGGAUUAGAUA